rnacentral:lncRNA from 1 species
CGGUCGGCUACUAUACUAUAUCACCAAGUACUUGGUGCUACCAAGUUUUCCGUCGUUAGAUCUACCCUUUGACCAUUUUCACCCAUUAGAUAAUACUAUUCAACCAACUACCAACUCAACCCUAGAGGACCACUGUCAUCCUAACCACACAUCUCUUCAUUCAAGGGCGAAAAAUCUAAUAGCACCAAUGACUUGGUUCUAUUAAUAGUAUAAUAGCCUAUUUUUUUGAGUUUCUAUAUUUUUAAAAAUACCAAAUUAUUAGAGUUUGUAGGUUUUUGCCUUUUGGAUAAAAAUUUGUAGGGUUAGGAUAAUAGUGGUCCCUCAGGGUUGAGUAGGUGUUUGGUGAAAUAGCAUGAUUUAAGGGGUGAAAUCGGUCAAAGAGAUAUAUCUAAUAGUAAAAAAUAUACAAGUACCAAGUGCUUGGAGUUUUUAAAAGCACCAAACUCUCUUUCUCUCUAUAUAU